rnacentral:sRNA from 1 species
AUGUACCACGUGGUGGAGUUUGUGAACGCCAGAAAGAACAAGCUGAAGUCUAUCGACGUUGUCCCUACUUCUUGGGUAAAAAACGACAAAUGUCUGUGGCCACCAUGGAAAAAUUCCAAGCUGGUUCAGGCGGCCAUCGUCUCGUCCUCGAUGCCGGACUCAUCGUGGACAGCUCACAAGAUAAGAAUUAUUCGUAGUUACCCGGACUAUACGACAGCCGUCUACAAAUGUGACAAGGCCACCAAGACGACCAGGCUAACAACUGACAGUGAGCAAGAUGCCACCAGCAGCAGCUCAGAUGACGAUGACAUCGGAGAUUACACAGACAUCCCGGAGUUCCCUUCCAUCAGGAACCCAGAGCUUGAAAGCUCAGAUGCCACCAGCGGACAGCGUGAUCAAAGCACGGUACGGCAUGAAGCGUCUGCAGGAGCCGGCGGCAGCUCUGAGCAGGACACUGCUCACGUGAUUCUUAGAGAGGUCCUCAAGCUAAGGGCUGAGGUCGCUGGCCUACAUGAAAUCAUCGAGGCCUUGCAACGGCGUAUUGAUCAGCAGCAGGCGGCGCCCAUUGGAGCCAGCAGGACAUCGAGUCACUUCCCUCUCAGUUCACGUGAGGAGUUGGAGGCCCUCGAAGCGAGACUGGUUGACGAGGAACACCGGAGUGACCUGGUCAAGUGGAUCUCCACGAUCGGUGGACACUCGCCAUCAGAAGCUGUGAUACGGCUCUUCAGGGCAUUGCUAACAGACGAGCUGGCAGUUGAGUACAGUUGGUGCGGAGCAAAUGGAAAGCUUAGGUUUGGCUCCCUUCGUCUAGCGGCGGCGGCUUUCGGAGACAAGGAGACAAAGGAAUUUUUAUGGUAGCGCCUGCGUGCUUCGCUGCCAAGGAAAUCCAGGCAUCAUCAGGAGGGGAGUGGGGGAGGCAGCAUUGUGUUCCUGGGUGGUGCCUCUACUCCUGAUAAGAUCGUGAACAUUUUGAAGAAGGUUCCCAGGUUUGCUACCGAGCCGUUGGUCCGGCCUCCGGAGAUCCUGGGCCUGGUGCGACAAGUGUCUCAAAAAACGAACCAGGAAAGCAGGGAGUGUUGCAUAUUGGAGUGUGCGGAAGGGCUUUUAAAAGGGGUUGGGAGAAAGGUGAGAAGGAUGAAUCUUGGGGCUGUUUUAUCGUUUUUCAAUGACUCGCGGUUAAAGUUGCUGGUAUCUGAUAAAGAAGGGGGCUUUGACGUGGCGCCUCAGGGUUUGUUCUUGGAGAAGGCCGGGGAGGCGAUGUUGAAGAAUUUUAGGCCAGUGUUGGGGGUUGAUUUGAAAAAGGUUAAGGCGCGUGCUGCGCAGUUAUGCAGUAACAUGGGGCUGGAUUCGCUGAGAAAGUCUGCGUCGGCAGCUAAAGGUCUUAGUCUGGAGGCGUUCUUCACGGUUAAGACCCACAAAGAGUUGAUGCCUUUAAGAGCCACUGUCACUCAGAAAGGUUCUUGGCAGGUGCAUGUGUCAAGCUUUCUGCAGCGCCACUUGUCGUCACUUAUGCUGGAUGACCCUUUUGUUGUUCGCAAUUCGGAGGCCUUGGUUAAUUAUCUACGGGAAGAUAAUCCUGGCUCGUGUCAGCUGGUUUUGUUUGAUGUGGAAGAUUUGUUUUAUGCAAUUCCCCAUUGUGAGCUCAUGCAGGCCGUGGAGGAGUGCAUUGAUACGUUUGGGGCUGUGGCCUUCUCGAGUUCCUGUGGGAUUGCGAGUGACUCUUUCCUUGAACUACUGAAUUUUUACCUCGCGUCCACCUUUGUUACAUUUGAAGGCAACACGUUUUCGCUGAAGAGCGGCAUAUGCAUUGGGUCGAAUGUUGCGCCCGUUCUCAGUGACAUUUAUUUGGCUAAGUGUGAUAGGGCAAUUGCUGAGCGGCUGGACGAUAGGGUGGUCAAAGUAUUGAGGUAUGUUGAUGACUACCUGAUUGUGCUGAAAAGCAACGAUAACACAGACAUUGAAAGUGUGAUUGCCUCGAUAUUACAUGUGUUUACGGAUUGUUCUCCGGGACUAAAGUUUAAGGCUGAGACCACUUCUGAGGGUGCCCUACAAUUUUUAGAUCUCAAUCUUCGAUGUGAGCCCUCGCAUUUGUGUUGGGCCCAUGAGCCUAGGCCUAAGAAGGGGCUCUUAGUAUAUGAAUCCGCACACUCUAAGACAAUAAAAAGAGCCAUUGCACUGUCCAGUCUCCGCACCGCCUUGUUUAAGUCAUGCCACCAUAGGUGUGGUGACAGUUUUUUGUUGCAAGUCACGAGGUUGUCAAAUGCUGGUUUCCCUUUGGGAGUUGUCAUGGGCGUCGUGGAAUCCUUGGUUAAGGUGUUUAGAGGCCCUGCUAGUACUGAGGCAAGACAAAAACCAACGGUAAGACCUGUGGUCUUGCCGUAUAUGCACAAGGUGUCCCAUGGUGUCAAGAAGGUUGCCAGUAGGUGCAACGUGCCAGUUGUGUUUUUGGCUCCAGCU